rnacentral:lncRNA from 1 species
AAUAAUUUAGUUUUGAAUGUAAUGCGUCCCCUGAUUGGCUGACGUUAUUUUGUUAUCAGCCCAUAGACAUAAUUUAGUCAUGUGACCGUGACGUCAUCAACGUUUUUUCGUGGUUUUCUACGGUUUUAAAUGGAAUUUAGAAUUAAAUUAUAAGAAAUGACUGUAAUAUUUUUUCUGUCUAUUCGAAAUAACAUAAAAAAUGUGGUGCACACUGUUGAAUAACCCGCUACGCGCGUUAUUCAGUGUGCACCAAAUUUUUUAUGUUAUUUCUUCAUAGACAGAAAAAAAUAUUACAGUCAUUCCUUAA